UCCGGAGGAUCCAAGCGUUAUCCGGAAUCAUUGGGUUUAAAGGGUCCGUAGGUGGGCCGUUACGUCAGAGGUGAAAUCCUGCAGCUCAACUGUAGAAUUGCCUUUGAUACUGGCGGCCUUGAAUUACUGUGAAGUGGUUAGAAUAUGUGGUGUAGCGGUGAAAUGCAUAGAUAUCACAUAGAAGACCGAGUGCGAAGGCAGAUCACUAACAGUACAUUGACACUGAGGGACGAAAGCGUGGGGAGCGAACAGG
rnacentral:rRNA from 1 species